UAUUAUUAUGUUAACAUAAUAUUAAAACAUAACACAUUGUACAUAUUUGUGUAUCCUACUUUACGUAUAUGAUAACAUUAUGUGAUAAUCAAGAACAUCACAUAAGCAUAUUAAUGUUAUUUUAUAAUUGUGAUAUUGAUCAAUAAUCAUCAGGCCUAACUGUAAUUUUAGUUUCAGGGUUGUAUUGUUUGUAUAAGGUACAUCAUUAAAAUAUGAACGAAUUUUACUUUAAUUAAGUGUAUUUUAUAUUUGGGCGUUGUUGUUUUUGUUUUGAAAUAAUUAAAAAAUAAACGAAUCAGUAAAGACCGGAUUACAUAGGCCUACGUUUUACCUAUAAGGUACUGGAAGCAACUUCAAUCCGUGGAAAGGUAAGUCAAGAUUAACUUUAUUUUCUACUAGAAAUUAUUCUUAGUAAUACAGUGAAAGGUCUUAGUAAUACAGUUCUUAGUAGGCCUAAUACAUUAAAAUCGUUGUUGGUAGUACAUUAAAAUCGUUGUUGGUACACAGCAUGAUGUUAUUCUUAUAUGCGUAUUAACAUUUAAAUUUUUUCCCAGGACACACUGGUGGAUAGUUUAGGCUAUGAGUACACCAAAAAAAGUCGACAGGCUAGGCGAAGACCAGCCGUUACUUGGAGGUGUUCACUGCGAAACAAGAACGUGACGUGUCGAGCGACUGUUAUGGAGAGAAAUGGGGGUUAUGUUCGAGGAAGACAAGAUCACAUUUGUGAUAUGAUUCCAGGUCGUGAAAAGGUGGCAAUAAUUCGUAGAGAUCUGAAGGCACAGGCAGUAGAGAAACCCUUGGACCCGGCAGCUGAGAUGGUAGAAUUAUACUAAGAGAUUAAAU